GUGCUCGCUUCAGCAGCACAUAUACUAAAAUUGGAACAAUACAGAGAAGAUUAGCGUGGCCCCUACACAAGAAAAUUAAUUUCCUGACAUUCUGAGUAGGCUA